UUAAUGUUAUUAUUUUGAAUAAGAUCCUAAAUUAUAACAUUAACAAUAUUGAUUUGAUAGUUUUUUUUAUGAUAAAUUUUAUUCACUUAAACUGUAAUGUAUUGAUAUUUAAGUUUUUUUUUAUACAUAAAAUUCUAAAAUAUAAUGUAUUGAUAUCUUAAUAUGUUGUUUUAAAAAAAGACCAUGAAAAAACGAAAUAAAGAAUAUGACAUUUUAUAUAGACAA
rnacentral:lncRNA from 1 species